UCAGGACGAACGCUGGCGGCGUGCCUAAUACAUGCAAGUCGAACGGUCUUUCUAUGGAAGCUUGCUUCCACUGAGAAGAUAGUGGCGAACGGGUGAGUAACACGUGGGUAACCUGCCCAUAAGAGGGGGAUAACAUCCGGAAACGGGUGCUAAUACCGCAUAGUUUUCUUGAUCGCAUGGUUGGGAAAGGAAAGACGGCCUUUGUGCUGUCGCUUAUGGAUGGACCCGCGGCGUAUUAGUUAGUUGGUGAGGUAACGGCUCACCAAGACGAUGAUACGUAGCCGACCUGAGAGGGUGAUCGGCCACAUUGGGACUGAGACACGGCCCAAACUCCUACGGGAGGCGGCAGUAGGGAAUCUUCCGCAAUGGACGAAAGUCUGACGGAGCAACGCCGCGUGAGUGAAAGAAGGUUUUCGGAUCGUAAAACUCUGUUGUCAGAGAAGAACAAGUUGGAGAGUAACUGCUCCAGCCUUGACGGUAUCUGACCAGAAAGCCACGGCUAACUACGUGCCAGCCGCCGC
rnacentral:rRNA from 1 species